rnacentral:sRNA from 1 species
GGGACUCUCAUUUACUGCUGAGGGAUUUGGGUGCCACUGACACCUGCUUCUCCCAGGAAGAUGCCCACCUGUUGCCUGGGCACUGAGGGUGAAGUCUGCCUGAGUUGCAGGCGACCCUCACUGGAGAUGGAGGGGGCUGCCUGUGACCAUCCCUGCUCCUCCCCUAGUACUGGACUGAUGAGUUUCUCCAGUGGAACCCUGAGGACUUUGACAACAUCACCAAGUUGUCCAUCCCCACGGACAGCAUCUGGGUCCCAGACAUUCUCAUCAAUGAGUUCGUGGAUGUGGGGAAGUCUCCAAAUAUCCCGUACGUGUAUAUUCGGCAUCAAGGCGAAGUUCAGAACUACAAGCCCCUUCAGGUGGUGACUGCCUGCAGCCUCGACAUCUACAACUUCCCCUUCGAUGUCCAGAACUGCUCACUGACCUUCACCAGCUGGCUGCACACCAUCCAGGACAUCAACAUCUCUUUGUGGCGCUUGCCAGAAAAGGUGAAAUUCGACAGGAGUGUCUUCAUGAACCAGGGAGAGUGGGAGUUGCUGGGGGUGCUGCCCUACUUUCGGGAGUUCAGCAUGGAAAGCAGUGACUACUAUGCAGAAAUGAAGUUCUAUGUGGUCAUCCGCCGGCGGCCCCUCUUCUAUGUGGUCAGCCUGCUGCUGCCCAGCAUCUUCCUCAUGGUCAUGGACAUCGUGGGCUUCUACCUGCCCCCCAACAGUGGCGAGAGGGUCUCUUUCAAGAUCACACUCCUCCUGGGCUACUCAGUCUUCCUGAUCAUCGUUUCUGACACGCUGCCGGCCACUGCCAUCGGCACUCCUCUCAUUGGUGUCUACUUUGUGGUGUGCAUGGCUCUGCUGGUGAUAAGUUUGGCCGAGACCAUCUUCAUUGUGCGGCUGGUGCACAAGCAAGACC